GAUGAACGCUGGCGGCGUGCCUAACACAUGCAAGUCGAGCGGCAGCGCGAGUAGUUUACUACUUGGCGGCGAGCGGCGGACGGCUGAGUAACGCGUGGGAAUUUGCCCCAAAGUGAGGAAUAACUGCCCGAAAGGGUGGCUAAUGCCGCAUAUGAUCUUCGGAUUAAAGGAUUUAUCCGCUUUGGGAGAAGCCCGCGUCGGAUUAGGUAGUUGGUGAGGUAAUGGCUCACCAAGCCGACGAUCCGUAGCUGGUCUGAGAGGAUGACCAGCCAGACUGGAACUGAGACACGGUCCAGACUCCUACGGGAGGCAGCAGUGAGGAAUCUUCCACAAUGGGCGAAAGCCUGAUGGAGCAACGCCGCGUGCAGGAUGAAGGCCUUCGGGUUGUAAACUGCUUUUAUAAGUGAGGAAUAUGAUCGGUAGCUUAUGAAUAAGGAUCGGCUAACUAC
rnacentral:rRNA from 1 species